rnacentral:snRNA from 1 species
GCCAAUAACAAAGCACAUUGGCCACUUGAAAAGAUACAGAGAAGAUUAGCAUGGCCCCUGCACUUAGGAUGGCACGCUCAACCAAAUGGAUGCUGCCUCUUUUU